AUGGCCUGGCUUGUUUUCAACCUGCCAAUGUUCUCGCAUACCAGACAGGAAGUAGCUGCCAUAUUAGGAGGGACCUGCUAUUUUGUGGCAGCCAAUCAGUAUUGUCCAACGUAGGUGCAACCAAUCACAUUAACUGGAUGUCAAGCGACAGCAGCGGCGCCGAAUCUCCAGUAAUGGCGGCGGUGUUUGGCUUGCUAAGUUCGUAUAUUAAUGAUCAGAUUAAUAAAUAAUUGUUGCCCUAAAGAGGAAGUGCGCAUCAGCCUUGUCGGAAGUAAUCCGUGAAGAGACAAAACAACAGGAGGCAGGACAAGUACAGAACAUCGAAAUCUUGAUGGUAGUAGUAUUACAUUCAAUAUGACAGAAGCAAAGUUUGAACAACAGAUUUCAAGCCUUUAUCUCAUUAUUUGUUAUCUUAACUAUUGUAGUAGCUUUAUGGCAAAUACCUGGUUAAAUUAAAUGUUUUCAGGUAUUGCCUGCACCCAUAUGCACAUUCUGUUUUAAGGGAGGUUAGGUCAUGAUGUUUGGAAAAUGCAGUAUUAAUUUUUUGGUUUGUUUGUAAUAUCGAAUAGUUGCCAGACUCUGUCCUGUCUGAAAUUCUUCUUCACGUGGUCCUUGAGGAGGUUGAUUCUGGAUUGUUAAAUUUGUCUUUAGUUUGUUCCAAAUUCAGAAGUCUGGUGGAUACAGACCCAUUUAGGAGGAGGGCACACUUCUGCUGGCUUGACCGUACGUAUAUACCAUCCAGGGUUUUGCAGUGAUAGGUGCCAGCUACUGGAGAGUGAAAUGCCGUUCAAUCAACCAGUUCAUUUUUAAAAGCCUAGUUAAUCUAACUAAUCUUUCUUUUUUUUUUCCAACAAACCUUUAACUUAAACUUUUUCUUUGUUUCUAAUUCUUUUCUUUCUUUCUAUAACUAUUCAUAAAGCUAUAACCAUUCUACACUUAUGGAUAGAUAGGAGGGUUGAAGAUUAGUAAGAAAAACAAAGAAAUUGUUUUUCUUACUAAUCUUCUACCCUCCUAUCUAUCCAUAAGUGUAGAAUGGUUAUAACUUUGUUCUCUUGCAAAUGACAGGUAGCCAACAUGUAUGUACUGAUGUAAUUCAUGCCAUUGUUAUAACUGGUGUGAGAUUGUGUACGGUAGAGUCUCUGGCCUGCGACCCCGUGAGACUUUGACCCCUGGCUCUACCGAUGAAACUAUUCUUCAAUAAAUUUUUACUUAUUUGAUUGUA